rnacentral:pre_miRNA from 1 species
GCGCUUAGCGAAUUCAUAGGCUCUAUCUUGUAGUAUGAACUGAGUACGGGAUGAUUUGCAGUGCGUAUUAGGGGCUUACCAUAAGAUAAUGGCCGUGAAUUCGCUAAGCGU